rnacentral:lncRNA from 1 species
GACUUUCCGUCUUGCAGGCCUGUCUGUGUUGUAAGGUGUCUCAUGCCCCAGUGUCCCUAAACCAUGGCAGGUGGCCAGCGCCUUUGCUAAUAAGUGAGCAGGGCUCUGCCCACCGCUUCUCAGGCAUUUUUCCCUUUGUCUUCUGGGCAAUCACCCUGUGACAUGAGACAAAUGGGAAGAAUAUUGGGAAGAAUUAAGGGGAAGCAGAAUGGAAAAUAAAAUCCCCCACAAAGAGUUGUGUUGGCAAAAGAUGCAACUUCCAGGCCGCUGCCCCAUUGUUGGUUUGAAUCCCGGCUUCCUAGAAAACUGAGCGGAGCCACUGAGACACUUAAUUCCGGAUUUCUUCUCUUGUAAAGUAGGAUUGUUUGAAGCAAUAAUAUGGCAGGGAGUCAGGGGAGCGUCCCUGGACAAGGUCAAAAUGAACUCUAGUUUAAUUUCUGGUCCUGUUAUAUGUGGGCUGUGUGAUCAGGGGUCAAUCACUGCAUUUCUUCUUUCCUCUAAUAUUCCCAUUGGAAAAUGGAGGGGAAUGUUCUGUUAGCAUGCUGGAAGUUUUCUGAACAUACUAGGAUUUAAUAUUUUUUGUUUCUGGGGGUGCCUGUGUGGUUCAGUCAUUAAGCGUCUGCCUUCAGCUCAGUUCAUGAUCCCAGGGUCCUGGAAUCGAGCCCGCAUCAGGCUCUCUGCUCUGUAGCGAGCCUGCUUCUCCCUCUCCCACUUGCGCUGCUUGUGUUCCCUCUCUUGCUGUCUCUCUCUGUCCAGUAAAUAAAUAAAAUCUUAAAAAAAUUAUUUUUGUUUGUUUCUGUAUUUGAUUUAACAGUGCUCAAGAGAGAAUGGCUUUCUUCUGUCCUCUCCCCAAACAGAUCGUGUGAUUGGAGGCGGUUUUGCUCCUGGAAGGGAAUACUCGUGUACAGAGAAUGGCCAUUUCAGACUCAUGGGACGUGCCCCAAACUUCAGAAGGGAGGUGCUGUCCAGAUGUGCUCAAACCAGGCCCUGGUUUCUGGUAAGGAAGCCAUAAGAGGAGAGACCCUUGAAAGACCAACUGGCUGCCUUUCUCAGUGUUUGAAGCUGCCACCGUGCUCCUGAGGGGUCUGACC